UACGGAGGGUGCGAGCGUUAAUCGGAAUUACUGGGCGUAAAGCGCGCGUAGGCGGCCAAGUAAGCCGGUUGUGAAAGCCCCGGGCUCAACCUGGGAAUGGCAUCCGGAACUGUUUGGCUAGAGUGCAGAAGAGGAAGGUAGAAUUCCCGGUGUAGCGGUGAAAUGCGUAGAGAUCAGGAGGAACACCAAUGGCGAAGGCAGAUCUCUGGACUGACACUGACGCUGAGGUGCGAAAGCGUGGGUAGCAAACAGG
rnacentral:misc_RNA from 1 species